GUCUUCCAGUCCCAGUGAAUGUGCGAGAGACAGUAAAACAACUGACAUACUGUAUGUUCUCCUUGACACCAAACUGUGCAAAAAAACUAUUUAGGCUUACGCCACGGGGAAAGUGGCUUCAUCUUCAGCCAAGGAGGUUAAGGGUUUCAUAAUUGGAUCCAAAGAUAGACGAAGAAACAAAAUGGUGCUAGAUUCAUGCUGAUGAUCAACACAAAAGUGAAAUCAGAUCUACUGCUGUCAAUCUAGGUUUCUAUAGCAACGUAAAGAGGAUAUGACGUUACGAUAUGAAGUGUUCGGGACGGAGACUCCGGGGAUGACGCGCACCCGACGGCGGCGUCACCUACUUCAGGGUAACCAAGAUGCGUCUCCAGGGGCGAGGCACCGUAGGACGGAGGCUAGUGAUGGCGCACGCUGGGUAGUGACGUCGCGGACCCGGAAGUAGGAAGUCGUGUGUCGGGAUAGGAUGCAUUCCUGUGGAGGAUCUGCGAAAUUUGAGUGUCAUCUUUUUGGACCAUACAAACAGGAGAUAAAGGGAUAUCUUUUGGAGUAGGAGAUUGGGGAUUAUGAUGGACAAGGUCUCUAGCCAUAUAAAUAGUAGAUGAACAGGCGGAUCAGUUUUGGAUUGGUUGAUUGAUAAUAUUGAUGGUUGAGGGGUGUGAUUGGUCAGUAGGGGUUUAUUAAGGACUCCCGAUACAAGAUGGAAUUCAUAUUGCCUUGAGAAAGACCCAGAGCAGGUGGGUCAAAACGCGUCGGCUAUUUGGACCCCUGAUUCCGGUGGAUGACAAGUGGAUUGCUGUCCGGAAACCAGAACAUUCUUUCCAGACUACUUACCCGGGUGAUGCAUUUGGUGAAUGAUCUACAUGCUUAUUUGAGAACUAUUUGCACUAGUUCUCAGAGAUUCUGGUAAUUGAACAGCUUUUACAAACUCUACCUAAGGAGUAAAGGGGAUCUAUUUUAACAUUGUGUUUUUAUGUGUAUGUCAUUAAAAGUGUUUAUUUGACUUUACUACACAUGGUGUAUCUUUGUUCUCUC